AGUUGGUACGCGUGAGGGAUAGCAGCGGUAUCCUUUAUUUUUUUUCUUUAAAAAAAUAAAGAUAGAGCGGAGAGCCCGACCCGCA
rnacentral:sRNA from 1 species